rnacentral:rRNA from 1 species
UCCCAGACUCCUACGGGAGGCAGCAGUGGGGAAUAUUGCACAAUGGGCGCAAGCCUGAUGCAGCCAUGCCGCGUGUAUGAAGAAGGCCUUCGGGUUGUAAAGUACUUUCAGCGGGGAGGAAGGCGAUAAGGUUAAUAACCUUGUCGAUUGACGUUACCCGCAGAAGAAGCACCGGCUAACUCCGUGCCAGCAGCCGCGGUAAUACGGAGGGUGCAAGCGUUAAUCAGGAUUACUGGGCGUAAAGCGCACGCAGGCGGUCUGUCAAGUCGGAUGUGAAAUGCCCGGGCUCAACCUGGGAACUGCAUUCGAAACUGGCAGGCUGGAGUCUUGUAGAGGGGGGUAGAAUGCCAGGUGUAGCGGUGAAAUGCGUAGAGAUCUGGAGGAAUACCGGUGGCGAAGGCGGCCCCCUGGACAAAAACUGACGCUCAAGUGCGAAAGCGUGGGGAGCAAACAGGAUUAGAUACCCGUGUAU